GCUGGGUGUGGUGGCGCAUACCUGUAAUCCCAGCUACUCAGGAGGCUGAGGCAGGAGAAUCACUUGAACCCAGGAGGCAGAGGUCGCAGUGAGCCAAGAUUGCACCACUGCACUCCAGCCUGGGUGACAGAGUGAGACUCAGUCUCAA
rnacentral:SRP_RNA from 1 species